GCCUGGUUUUUUUUGCAUCGGGCUUUGGUAGGCCCGGCCCGACAGAUGGCCAGGUAUAGACACGAUGUGUUCUUCGAUUUUCUCUUACCCUGUGUGUCCGAGGAUUUUUGCAAGCGUAAAAAAGGAAAUCAAUUGGAUACCAUGGCCUUGUCAAAAUAUAGGACACUGAUAACGCCCACACGUGCGGCAUACUAGACAUCCGCCCACACACCUUGUGUGGCGUAAGUAGGAGACAGCCCACACGGGUCAUGUGUGGGUGAACAUUAAAACUGCCCACCCGUGUGGGUGGAGCUACUUCGUGUCACACGCCCAACAAAUACUGCUCAUCCCACCCCGUGCGUGUGGCAGGAAGCAAAACUGCCCACACGUCGCGGUGCAGCUACGUUAGUUACCUGUGGGAUGACGCUUUAGUUGCCAUCCGGGAUGGCAAAUGUAGUUGUAAAAGCAUGACAACUCUCUUUGUUUUGGUUAACUAUGUUUGCCAUGUCUAAUUUAUGGUAGUUGCCGCGUGCAAUCAAACCAUAGUUGCCAUGUGUGCUUACCUAAUUGCCAUGUAUGGUUAAUUAUAGUUGUCAUGUGUGUUUACCUGGUUGCCAGGUACGCGUAACUGCAGUUGCCAUCUACCAACGAAUCAUAGUUGCCAUGCGUAUUUACCUAGUUGCCGCAUACGUGCAACUGCAGUUGCCAUCUAUCACCGUACGAGCGUCGUGUGGGCGAAGAGCAGUUCACGCACACGCGCGAGGGCUGGCUGGUGACUGCGUGGGCGGGAACUGGUUCACCCAUACGGCGCAGCUGGCAACCACGCGCUGCGGGUCGUGUGGGCGAGCGCUCUAGCGCCCACACAACACGCUAUGCCUACGUGGCACUCAGAUUCCUUUAGGAUUCAUGCAAAACAGAAUUAAGGUGGAUCAAGGCGUGUGGGCGUUAGUAUUCUAGCAAGUAUUCUUAUGCACACCAAUCUAUUUACCACACUAAAUAUACUGACAAAUACACAAUGGCUGGAUUGUAUACUAACUAGUUGUUCCAUAGAUUGCAUACUAAGAGCGUCUCUAGCCUAUCCCCAAAAGUUAAACAUGGGGCAAAAAAUAUUGAUUUCACGAAUUAAGAGCAUCUCUAGCAGAUUCCUUAUCCUAAAAGUCCAAAAUCCCACCAUAUCUCAUUUCCCCUAAUUUUAUAAGGGGUUAAACGUUCCCCACCUACAGAUUCCCUAAAACUUAAUCCCUAAGAUUUUUAUUUGACCAAUACUUUCAAACGUUUGCUCAAACAAUUGUCACAAAUUCAUCACAUUUCAAAACAAACAUAGACAAUUCAAAUGCACCAUAUCAUAAACCAAGUACGAGCAUAAAUGAAGUUCAUCGGAUCCAUCGAACAACUAAACAUAACCAUAAUUUAUACCAAAAGUUCGUUCUAUUGAUUCUUCUUGGCAUGCUUUGCAAUUUUUGACCCAUUCAGACGCACAUGAGUGGAUGGGUUCUCUGCCAAGUCAUCAUCAUCAACAUUGGUGUUGAGCCUUUGCCUCUUUGGUAUGGCUUCAGAGUUUUUUCUUGUCAACUUCUCAUGUCCAUCAAGCUCUGUGUAGCAAUGAUGCAAAGUAAAUACUUUGGAGCCGUUUUCUCUUGUUCCUUUCCUUGUAAAGAGCUUGAAUGACUUAUUUUUUAUAUUUAUCUAUGCUUGAUAACUCUCUUGUUUUAUGCAGUUUGCUUCUCUGUAGUUGGUGGUUCAUCUUUGGAAGUGCAGCAUUCCGUUGUUAUUUCAUAACGUGGAGUUGAAAAUGGUGUAGGUAUAUAUGCUAACGACAAAAUAUUCAAUAACCACAUAAUUUCUUUGAUGGACCUCUUUUUGUCAUGUCUCACGCGGUAUAGAAUAACUAGCUAAUAUAUUAGUAUAUGCAUGCAAUGUUAACCUUGCCUUGUGUUAUGACUGCCACGGUUUUCAUAAUAUAAUUCUACAUAUACGGUACACCCUUUGUCCCAAAUAAGUGUCUCUAAUUUUAAUGCAAAGUUACUAUAAAGUUGUACUCCCUCCGUUUCUUGUUAGUCCGCAUAUAAGGUUUGGUCAAAGUCAAGCUUUGUAGAGUUUGACUAAUUUUAUAUUAAAAAAUAUAAAAUUCACGAUAUGAAAUCAAUAUUAUCAGAUGCACCAUGAAACGUAUUUUCAUGCUAUAUAGUUUUAGUAUUAUAGAUGUUCAGAUUUUUUUAUAUAAAUUUGGUCAAACUUUGUGUAGUUUGACUUUGACCAAAUCUUAUAUGCGGAGUAAAAAGAAACGGAGGGAGUACUAAUCAGCUACACUUAUUUGCGGUGGAGGGAGUAGUUUACAACAUUCCAGAGUAAUAUUCGAAUCACGAGUUUCUUCUUGUACAAACUGAAGUUUCAUAUGCAUGAUAUAUUAUAAAUUUAAUUUUUCUCCUAGCUGUACCUGUUGGAUCUCUUGUAUUAUGUCUUAAGAUCUUCUUUUUAUUGGUGAACAAAUAUAUUAUUUUCUAUACAAUUAAUGGCUAGCGAUUUGCGGGGAUGCAUAUGGAGGAUUCAUGGUGAUGUUAUAUUAAAUGUGCCGAAACAUACUUUGGUGGUAGAUGCUGUGUGAAUCAAGAUGAUUCAGAAAUAUUACAAUAAGAGGUUAAUUAGAUGGCCAUAUAUAUCCAGAAGUGUUAUAUUUUUUUCUACCGUAAUGCUGAACGCCCCCACCCUCCCAGGUUAUUUACCGUUGUACGCACUGGCUUCGUAUGCGGUCUACGCUAGCGAACGAAGUAUCAAUCGUUGUUUAAGACGGUGUGUAUGCGGUUGGAGCGGGUGGCCAGGGAGGUUUUUACCCAACGGAGUAUCAAUACACUAUAGGUUUUUCUAAUAUCCAACUUCAUUCUUGUUUGCUCCAACACUUUGCCCAUAUAUAUAACCCCAUUCUAACAAAGCUUGUAUAGAAAAAUAUUGUUGUUCAGUAACUAACUGUCAUUCUUUGCAUAGUCAGAACAACAACACAUAAGUCAAAACAUCUCUAGCAGACCCCGUAAAGCACCACCUGUAAAAAACAGUAUAUAGCCCCCCCUAAGACAAAUUUAUAGUACCGCGAGGCAUCGAACGAAACAUAUCCUGUAAACCCAUAUUGUAAAUAUUUUUUCUUUUUCUCCUCACGCUUCU